AUACAUGCAAGUCGAACGAGUUCUGAUUAUUGAAAGGUGCUUGCAUCUUGAUUUAAUUUUGAACGAGUGGCGGACGGGUGAGUAACACGUGGGUAACCUGCCCUUAAGUGGGGGAUAACAUUUGGAAACAGAUGCUAAUACCGCAUAAAUCCAAAAACCGCAUGGUUCUUGGCUGAAAGAUGGCGUAAGCUAUCGCUUUUGGAUGGACCCGCGGCGUAUUAGCUAGUUGGUGAGGUAACGGCUCACCAAGGCAAUGAUACGUAGCCGAACUGAGAGGUUGAUCGGCCACAUUGGGACUGAGACACGGCCCAAACUCCUACGGGAGGCAGCAGUAGGGAAUCUUCCACAAUGGACGCAAGUCUGAUGGAGCAACGCCGCGUGAGUGAAGAAGGCUUUCGGGUCGUAAAACUCUGUUGUUGGAGAAGAAUGGUCGGCAGAGUAACUGUUGUCGGCGUGACGGUAUCCAACCAGAAAGCCACGGCUAACUACGUGCCAGCAGCCGCGGUAAUACGUAGGUGGCAAGCGUUAUCCGGAUUUAUUGGGCGUAAAGCGAGCGCAGGCGGUUUUUUAAGUCUGAUGUGAAAGCCCUCGGCUUAACCGAGGAAGUGCAUCGGAAACUGGGAAACUUGAGUGCAGAAGAGGACAGUGGAACUCCAUGUGUAGCGGUGAAAUGCGUAGAUAUAUGGAAGAACACCAGUGGCGAAGGCGGCUGUCUGGUCUGUAACUGACGCUGAGGCUCGAAAGCAUGGGUAGCGAACAGGAUUAGAUACCCUGGUAGUCCAUGCCGUAAACGAUGAAUGCUAGGUGUUGGAGGGUUUCCGCCCUUCAGUGCCGCAGCUAACGCAUUAAGCAUUCCGCCUGGGGAGUACGACCGCAAGGUUGAAACUCAAAGGAAUUGACGGGGGCCCGCACAAGCGGUGGAGCAUGUGGUUUAAUUCGAAGCAACGCGAAGAACCUUACCAGGUCUUGACAUCUUUUGAUCACCUGAGAGAUCAGGUUUCCCCUUCGGGGGCAAAAUGACAGGUGGUGCAUGGUUGUCGUCAGCUCGUGUCGUGAGAUGUUGGGUUAAGUCCCGCAACGAGCGCAACCCUUAUGACUAGUUGCCAGCAUUUAGUUGGGCACUCUAGUAAGACUGCCGGUGACAAACCGGAGGAAGGUGGGGAUGACGUCAAAUCAUCAUGCCCCUUAUGACCUGGGCUACACACGUGCUACAAUGGAUGGUACAACGAGUUGCGAGACCGCGAGGUCAAGCUAAUCUCUUAAAGCCAUUCUCAGUUCGGACUGUAGGCUGCAACUCGCCUACACGAAGUCGGAAUCGCUAGUAAUCGCGGAUCAGCACGCCGCGGUGAAUACGUUCCCGGGCCUUGUACACACCGCCCGUCACACCAUGAGAGUUUGUAACACCCGAAGCCGGUGGCGUAACCCUUUUAGGGAGCGAGCCGUCUAAGGU
rnacentral:rRNA from 2 species